GAUGAAGAACGCAGCGAAAUGCGAAAAGUAAUGUGAAUUGCAGAAUUCAGUGAAUCAUCGAAUCUUUGAACGCACAUUGCGCCCGCCAGUAUUCUGGCGGGCAUGCCUGUCUGAGCGUCAUUUCAACCCUCACGCCCCUAGGGCGUGGUGUUGGGGAUCGGCCAAAGCCCGCGAGGGACGGCCGGCCCCUAAAUCUAGUGGCGGACCCGUCGUGGCCUCCUCUGCGAAGUAGUGAUAUUCCGCAUCGGAGAGCGACGAGCCCCUGCCGUUAAACCCCCAACUUUCCAAGGUUGACCUCAGAUCAGGUAGGAAUACCCGCUGAACUUAAGCAUAUCAAUAAGCGGAGGA
rnacentral:misc_RNA from 1 species